AUUGAACGCUGGCGGCAGGCCUAACACAUGCAAGUCGAGCGGAUGACGGGAGCUUGCUCCUUGAUUCAGCGGCGGACGGGUGAGUAAUGCCUAUGAAUCUGCCUGGUAUUGGGGGACAACGUUUCGAAAGGAACGCUAAUACCGCAUACGUCCUACUGGAGAAAGCAGGGGACCUUCGGGCCUUGCGCUAUCAGAUGAGCCUAGCUCGGAUUUGCUUGUUGGUGAGGUAAUGGCUCACCAAGGCGACGAUCCGUAACUGGUCUGAGGGGAUGAUCAGUCACUGUGGAACUGAGACGCGGUCCAGACUCUGAGGGGAGGCCGCAGCGGGGAAUAUUGGAAAAUGGGCGAAAGCCUGACCAGCGAUGCCGCGUGUGUGAAGAAGGUCUUCGGAGUGUAAAGAACUUUAAGUUGGGAGGAAGGGUUGUCGAUUAAUACGCUGCAAUUUUGACGUUACCGACAGAAUAAGCACCGGCUAACUAUGUG
rnacentral:rRNA from 1 species